rnacentral:lncRNA from 1 species
GUUGAGUCCUCGAUUUGAUUCUUAGCUUGGUUGUUGUCGAGUGCUAUUGACUUGUGUACAUUGAUUUUGUAACCUGAGACUACUGAAUUUGUUUAUCAGAUCUAGAAGUCUUUUGGAUGAGUCUUUAGGGUUUUCUAGGUAUAGGAUAAUAUCAUUGGUGAACAGCACUAGUUUUACUUCCUCUUUUCCAAUUUGAAUGCCUUUUAUUUCUUUCUCUUGCCUGAUUGCCCUGGCUAGGACUUCCAGUACUACGUUGAAUAGAAGUGGUGAAAGUGGACAUCCUUGUCUUGUUCCAGUUCUCAAGGAAAACGAUUUCAGCAUUUCCCCAUUUAGUAUGAUGUUGACUGGGUGUUUCAUAUAUAAAUUCUAUUAUUUUGAGUGUCCAUGAUGCUGGUACAUUGAAUUCCAUGUGGAGGCUUAAAUGCUUGUAUGUGGCCACUCUCUCAGCAGAUGAUUGCAAUGAUGAUGCAACAAAAAAGAUGAAAAAGAUCUUGUGAUAUGAUUGACUAAGGAUACAACAGAACAAUCAUCAAGUAGUGAAGCUCGGGAUCUCUCACCUUACCUUUUGACUAACAUCCUUUUGGCAAAAAAGAGAGUGACCAAAGGAAGGGAGAUUGAAUAUACAUGCAGACAAUCAUUUAUUUUUUAUUGAGACAGAGUCUCGCUCUGUCACCCAGGUAAGAGUGCAGUGGUGCGAUCUCGGCUCACUGCAACCUCCUCCUCCCAGGUUCAAGCAAUUCUCAUGCCUCAGCCUCCUAAGUAGCUGGGAUUACAAGCACAUACCACGACACCUGGCUAAUUUUUUGUAUUUUUUUUUUUUUUUAGUAGAGGCAGGGUUUCACUGUGUUAGCUGGGAUGUUCUCGAUCUCCUGACCUUGUGAUCUGCCCACCUUGCCCUCACAAAGUUCUGGGAUUAUAGGCGUGAGCCACUGCACCUGCCCAGAUCAUAUGCAGCAUUAGAACGUUGACCCACAGUCUCUGCAGCCAUUGCCUCAAAACAUUCAGGACUUCAUCAAUAAAGAUCAGUUUCCCUCGUUUCACCCCUAUUUCCAACUCAGAACCAACUGGAGAAAGCCAAAUGCACUCCCAAAACCAAUUGCAUAAGAUAGUUUCUAGUCAGCCCUUCUUCAGUUUUCCCAUGCCAACAACUUCCAAUCAGAACAUAUUCAAAGCCUUCCCUUUAAAAAUUAUUAUUAUAAAGUUUUCCUACUCCCCCCGCAUGCCUUUGGGUCUCUGGUAAAUGCAAGUGAUAGUGGCUAACUCCCGUUCUAUAACCAGCUCUGAAUAAAUAGAUAAAUAUUCUCUGCUUGUUUUCAUUUGUGUAGUCUUCAUUUAUUUCCACAAUGGCAACCUUCAAAUAUCUAAAGGUUUGUCAUAGAGAAGAGAUAUUAGAGUUCCCCCUGUGCCUGCAGAGAAGAAAUGUGCAUAAGAGGAGAGUGUGUUUCUCAUCAAUAUAACAACCUUUUAACAUUUAUAGUUGCUCAAAGGCAUACUGUACAGUGCUGUGUAGGAGAUGUGAUUACCCCAUUCCUGGAAAUGUUAAAAGCAGAGGCUAAAUAAUUGUUUAUAGUGGGCAAAUUAGAGUUUUGCAGAAGCAUUGUACUAAAUGGCUUAAUCCAAAUCUAAGUUUCCCAUACCUUCUCAUCAUACUUCUAUGAUUUAGGGUACAUCUGUUAAAAAGAAUAUGUUGAUUAUGUAAAAGAAGAAUGUUUGUUUAAAUGAAGCAAUCACCUUUUGGGGGCCAUUUUGUUAUGAAUUAGAACUAAAAGUUGCUUUCUCUUUUUUUAUCUUGGAGCCACAAAGCACACCACACUGACUUAUUAAUGUCUUUCAUACUGAUAUGAAGAAAUUGUGUGGUUAAUUCUGGGCUAGGGAGCCCAGACAUGCUGGCCCCUCAUUACCUUUGAGGAUAUGUUCAAAGGCCAAAAUCUUCAACUAUCUACUUGCUUCUGUACCAUUUUUCAACUAAUAAGACACAGAAUCCUGGUAUGGAGUGCCAUGGCAAUUAUCUAAGCAUUUUUAGAUUGUUUGACAUAUGUAAAGAAGGUAAUAAGACAUGAAUUUUAUGACUGCAUUUUGAUGAACAGUAAAAACUCCCUGCCAGAACUCUCCUUUCAUGUGCAAAUUUGAGUGUAUUUAAUGAGAAUUUUUGAGGAUUUCCUAGCAGAUCCUCACACCCCAUCUGGAUAGCACCUCUUUUUUCCAGUUCAGAAUAACUAUCACAGUGUGGGAGAACAGAGAACCCUAGAGUCAGAAGCCUUCUGGAAUUCAUUUGCUGGUUCACUGGAGACUUCAGAGUGCUGUAAGCUGAAACUGCUUCAACAACUGCUAUGGUUCUUGUAGUGUCAGAUGUGACUGUGGUGAUGGCAGUGAAAUUGGCUCCUGCAGUCUUAGAAGAGGCCUCACUCUGAAAAGUAUCCAUUCACUUUUUCUUUCUUUACAAAUACUCAUUAUUUUAAAGAAGAUCAAUGAGCUCCUAAUAACUACUGAAUACUUACCAAGCUCUAAAAGGUGACAGAACCAUAAAAAAUUUGGUUUGGUCAUGGAAGGAUACUAAUAAUCUAUGCUAAAUAUACAAAGAACAAAAAUAAAAUAAAAUACAAUCUAGGUCUCACUAGUUCCAUUUCCUUGACAACAUUAUUUAAGGGAGCAGGUGUCUAGGAUUAAGUAAUUAAGAAAAGUAAAACCCCAAAAAUGCCUAAACCGAGGAAAAUUUGGAAAGUUUAUGAUAAUAGAAAGGGAGAAAAACAAAUUAAGUAAUUUAAGUAAGAUUCUGUCUAAGGACUUUUCAAUACUGCAUAAGUCGAGGGAGGAAAUACCAGGAACAUAUCCUAGAUGUAGAAAACUGAGAAUCUUUGAAUACCAAUGGUAUUGAAGGAGGUAAAAAUAUGCCAUUCUGGCAUGUUGACUAUUUUGAGUUAAAGGCAUUUGAAAUACAGCAGGUGCAAGAAAAUUACUCUGACCUUCAUUCUAUUUCUUAAAAACACAAAAAAUGAAAUUCCAAUGUGAAAGAUGCCCACUUAUGCCACAAGAAAAGCAACAUUCUUAUCAUCAAGGACAAAAAAAUUGAGACAGAGAGAAUUCUGUACAGAUCUUUAAAAAUAUCUCAACCUGUAAGCCUUCCCAUAUUAUUUAUUAGAUUCUUCACAAUUUACCAUUCUUUGUCUGAUUCAGUAUAUAAGUGAUUGCCUCUGUUUUUUGGAUCUUCAUUUCCUUUUGAGGGCUCCCAUGCCAUGUAAAACUGUAUUAAGUAUUAAAUAAAUUCAUAGGAUUUUCUUCUGUUAAUUUCUAUUGUGUCAAUUUAAUUCUCAGGCUCAGCCAAAAACCAAAAAACAAAACCAAACAAAAAUAAAAAAAAAAAACUCCUACAAGGGAAAAGGUAAAGUACUGCCUCUCCUAUAGUAUCAGAACCUUUCUGUCUUUUCUUCCUUCUUUUUUCUUUCUUCCUCUCUUUUUUCUACUCUUUCUUUCUUCCUUCCUAUUUUGGGACUUCUUUCCUAAGAUAUUCUCCAAAAUAUUCUCUACAAUAUCCAGCCCAGUGCCAUAGAUAUGGGAGAUAUACCAUCUUUGGUUGCAAGUAGAUAAAAAUUUAGUUUGUUAAGAAGAAAUUUGGUAAGCUGGAAAUUUCUUAGAAGCAAUUAGGAAUAGUUUCCACAACAAAGAAAUUUGUGAUUCUUAAGAUAACAGUGGUAAAGAAGGAUAAUAUAAAAAUCAACCGAUGGGAAUUUUAAAAAAUAUACUUGCCCUAUUUUGAUGCUUUGAAAUUGAACUGUCUAGUAAGUGAGAGAAGAAUGUUAAGAAGAUAGAUAACAAAAUAUUAUGUGAUCAACCCCAUCCCAGAAGAAAAAUAAAUGUUUUAACUCUUAUAAGAAAUACAUAAGAAAGCAACUGAGGUUGGGGGGAAAAUGCCAGAUAUUGUUUUUUGGCACUUGGCCCUAUUCUUACUAGCUUCCGUGCUCCCCUCUAUUGGAGAGGCUAGAAAACUAAGAAUUGCAUUGAUUAUAUUCUUUUACUAUCUAGUUCGUCACAUAAGUUUUAGGAUUUGUCAAGCAGCUGCAGUAACUAGAAGAUUUAACAGGUAGAAAAGAGGUAGAAACACUCAUUUUCCUCUAGCAGCAACUCCAAUUGGGUGGGCUGUGUAGGUACAAGGGCUGUUGGUUGAUUAUUUUUUAAAACUCUCUGUACUUCUAUUAAUAUUACAGAAGAUUUAUGAAAUCUGAAGCCAUUUCCUGCAGUUUUCUAACUUCUGGGUAGCAAUAGCCAAUACCUGCACUGCUGUAGCAGAGGUUCUCCUUGAGGGCUCUGACCUGCAGCAGAUUUCUGCUUGGACAUUCAGACAUCUCCAUACAUUCUCUGAAAUCUAGAUGGAGGCUCCCAAAGCUGAACUCUCGUCUUUUGCACAGCAGCAGGCCCAACACCACGUGGAAGCUGUAAGACUUGGGGAUUGCAUCCUCUUAAGCCAUAGUUUGAGCUGUACCUUGGCCCCUUUUAGCCACGGCUGGAGCUGGAGUGGCUGGGAUGCAGGGUACAAUGUCCCAAGGCUGAACAGAGGAGCAGGGCCCUGGCCUGACCCAUAAAACCAUUUUUCCCUACUAGGCUGCCAGGCUUGCGAUGGGAGGGGCUGCUGUGAAGAUCUCUGACAUGCCCUGGAGGUACUUUCCUCAUUGUCUUUGCCAUUAACAUUGGGCUCCUCAUUACUUAUGCAAAUAUCUGCAGCCAGCUUGAAUUUAUUGCCAGAAGAUAGGUUUUUCUUUUUUACUGCAUGGUCAGGCUGCAAAUUUUUCAAACUUUUACGGUCUGCUUCCCUUUAACUUCCAAUUUCUGAUUUUUUCUUUGUGAACGAAUAUGGGCAUACACUUUUACCAAAAGCCAGGUCACUUCUUGAAUGCUUUGCUGCUUAGAAAUUUCUUCUGCCAGAUACCCUAAAUCAUCUUUCUCAAGUUCAAAAUUCCACAGACCUCUAGGGUGGGAGCAAAAUGCCACCAGUCUCUUUGCUAAGAUAUAACAAGAGUGACCUCUGCUCCAGUUCCCAAAAAGUUCCUCAUCUCCAUCUGACACCACCUCAGCCUAGACUUCAUUGUCCAUGUCACUAUCAGAAUUUUGGUCAAAACUAUUCAACAAGUCUCUAGGAAGUUCCAAACUUUCCCACAUCUUCCUAUCUUCUUCUGAGCCCUCCAAACUGUUCCAGCCACUGCCCAUUACCCAGUUCCAAAAUUGCUUCCACAUUUUUAGGUAUCUUUAGGCAGUACCUCAUUCCUGGUACCAAUUUUAUGUAUUAGCCCUUUUUCACACUGUAUAAAAAACUUCCCGAGACUAGGCAAUUUAUAAAAGAAAGAGGUCUAACUGACUCACAGUUCCACAUAGCUGAGGAGGUCUCAAGAAACUUACAAUCAUGGCAGAUGGUGAAGGGGAAGCAAGACACUUCUUACAUAGUGGCAGGAGAGAGAGAGCAAAGAGGGAACUUCCGAACACCUCUAAACCAUCAGAUCUCCAGAGAACUCCCUCACUAUCAGGAGAACAGCAUGGUGUAAACCACUCCCAUGAUUUAAUCACCUCCCACCAGGUCCUUCCCUCCACACAUGGGGAUUACAAUUCAAGAUGAGAUUUGGGUGGGGACACAGAGCCAAACAAUAUCAAUAGUACUUUCUGAAAUAUUAUGCAUCUAAUAUGAUGUAGCCUGAGAUGUAUAGGGAUAGCAGAAUGGAAUAUUAAAACAGAGUUUAGUCUUAGAUGAUAAAGGGAGAUAAUCAAUGAUUAUAAUAAUUAUGAUAUUAUUAUAAUAAUCAUGCAGGAACAUAUCAAUUCUGUGUUUCAGAAAGAUAACUAGCUGGGCACAGUGGUUCCUGAUUGUAAUCCCAACACUUCUGGACGGAGGUCAAGGUGGGAGGAUCACUUGAGCCCAGAAGUUUGAGACAAGCCUGGCAACAUAGUGGGGACUUGUCUUUAUUUACUUAUUUAUUUAUUUUUAUUUUUGAGAUAGAGUCUUGCUCUCUUGCCCAGGCUGGAGUGCAGUGGCAUGAUCUCGGCUCACUGCAACCUCCAUCUCCCAGGUUCAAGUGAUUCUCCUGCCUCAGCCUCCUGAGUAGCUGCAGGUGCAUGCCACCACCAUGCCUGGCUAAUGUUUGUAUUUUUAGUAGAGAUGGGGUUUCCCUAUGUUGGCCUGCCUGGUCUCCAACUCCUGACCUCAAGUGAUCUGCCCGCUUCAGCCUCUCAAAGUGCUGGGAUUACAGGCAUGAGCCAUGAACCUUGGCUGGGGCCCUGUUUUUUAAAAAAAAAAAAAAAAAAAAAAUAGCUGGGCAUGUUGGGGCAUGCCUGUGGUCCCAGCUACUCAGGAGGCUGAGGUGGGAGGAUCACUUGAGCCCAUGAGGUUGAGGCUGCAGUGAGCUCUGAUUGUGCCACUGCACUCCAGCCUAAGAGACAGAGUGAGAUCCUGUCUGCAAAAAAAACUGAAAUAUAAUUGUAGGUAUAUUUAUUAAAAACCAAUUAAAUAAAUAAAUAAUUUGCUAAAUUUAUAAACAUUAAUUGUAGGACUUUUUUGGAAUAUAGUCAAUAUUACCAAUAAUAUAACCACUAUAAAAUAUUCCUCAAUGACAUAAAUAUAUUCAACUAAAAUAUUCAGUGAAUGAAUUAAUAAAUAUAUUACCUAUAAGUGCAUUUCUUAUUAAGAUAUUUGUACUUAAGACUAUAAAAUUAUAUAUUCAACUAAAUAUCAUGGAUAUAGUGUAUAUGUUGAAUAUAUUCAAUAUACUGUAGAACUGUACUGUUGAAUUCAUGAGUCACUAGUUACAUGUUAUUACUGAGUGCUUGAAAUGUGGCUAGUCUGAACUGAGUUAUGCUGCAAGAGUUAAAUAUACACAGAAUUUCAAAGAAAUAAUACAAAUAAAAUAAUGCAAAAUAUCUAAUUUGUAACUUUUCUGUUGACUACAUGUUGAAAUGAUAAUAUUAUGGAUAUUCCAGUUUAAAUAAAAUGUGCUAUUAAAAUUAAUUUUACCUGUUUCUUUUUCCUUUUUUAAUGUGAG